GCCAGCGGCUAUAGCACGUUGAAUACUCUAGUUUCCCAUUGAUUACUGAAGUAAAGCAACGUUGAGCGAGGUUGAUGUCUGGAUGGGUGACUAUCUGGGCAACCGAUGGUUACCCGUC
rnacentral:rRNA from 1 species